rfam:Sphingobacteriales bacterium 50-39 SCNpilot_cont_1000_p_scaffold_18, whole genome shotgun sequence.
GGUCGCGUGGCCGAGAGGCAAGGCACGGGUCUGCAAAACCUUCUACGGCGGUUCGAGUCCGCCCACGACCU